GACGAACGCUGGCGGCGUGCUUAACACAUGCAAGUCGAGCGGUAAGGCCCUUUCGGGGGUACGACGAGCGGCGAACGGGUGAGUAACACGUGGGUGACCUGCCCUCAGCUCCGGGAUAAGCCUGGGAAACCGGGUCUAAUACUGGAUAUGACUCCAUGACGCAUGUUGUGGGGUGGAAAGCCUUGUGCGGCUGAGGAUGGGCCCGCGGCCUAUCAGCUUGUUGGUGGGGUGAUGGCCUACCAAGGCGACGACGGGUAGCCGGCCUGAGAGGGCGACCGGCCACACUGGGACUGAGACACGGCCCAGACUCCUACGGGAGGCAGCAGUGGGGAAUCUUGCGCAAUGGGCGAAAGCCUGACGCAGCGACGCCGCGUGAGGGAUGACGGCCU
rnacentral:rRNA from 1 species